GCUUGCUUCAGCUUACAUAUACUAAAAAAUUGGAAUGAUACAGAGAAGAUUAGCAUGGCCCCUGUGCAAGGAUGACAUGCAGAUUUGUGAAGCAUUCCAUAUUAAA